rnacentral:rRNA from 1 species
ACGGGAGGCAGCAGUGAGGAAUAUUUCACAAUGAGCGAAAGCUUGAUGGAGCAAUGCCGCGUGCAGGAUGAAGGCCCUCGGGUUGUAAACUGCUUUUAUAAGAGAAGAUUAUGACGGUAACUUAUGAAUAAGCACCGGCUAACUACGUGCCAGCAGCCGCGGUCAUACGUAGGGUGCAAGCAUUAUCCGGAGUGACUGGGCGUAAAGAGUUGCGUAGGCGGUUUAAUAAGUGAAUAGUGAAACCUGGUGGCUCAACCAUACAGACUAUUAUUCAAACUGUUAAACUCGAGAAUGGUAGAGGUAACUGGAAUUUCUUGUGUAGGAGUGAAAUCCGUAGAUAUAAGAAGGAACACCAAUGGCGUAGGCAGGUUACUGGGCCAUUUCUGACGCUAAGGCACGAAAGCGUGGGGAGCGAACCGGAUUAGAUACCCGGGUAGUCCACGCCGUAAACGAUGGAUACUGGCUGUUGGAGGUAUCGACCCCUUCAGUAGCGAAGCUAACGCGUUAAGUAUCCCGCCUGUGGAGUACGGCCGCAAGGCUAAAA